ACUUAAAUAGCUUAUAAAGAGUUUAAUAUUGAAGAUAUUAAGGAAAUAGAAAUAUUUUUAAGUA
rnacentral:tRNA from 2 species